GAAGGUGCCAGGAGAGCGGGGCUGGCAGAUAGCCCACAGGUUCUCAGAUUCCUCUCUACUCUUUCCCAGUGCCCAACCCUCUCCCUGUCUGCCACAACAAGAAAAAGAUCUGCAAAAUUAGCUGGUGUCUGAAAUUCCUUUCUUGGGAAACCAAACUUCUGAUUGGAGAAAAGAAGUUUGCUCUGGAAAAACCUGGGUAUAGGAGAUUCAAGAACCACUGCAGUCAAAAUGUGGCCAAAGGGUCGGAGUUCUCUGAGUAAAGAAGAAGAGUACUCCUGACCCUGAGGAUUCGAGACCAUGAUGAGUAGGAAGAUGGCAAGAAGCUCAGCGGGUGUGAAGAAUUAAGAGCAGGAAAUGCCAGGAUUAUCACAUUUGGAGGUGUUUUGUGUGCCAUUGUAAGGAAUGCCUCUGUCCUUUCCGUCCCAUCUUCCUUAUAAAGCUUCCUCUCUCAAUUUGUCUGUCAAGUUUUUA
rnacentral:lncRNA from 1 species